ensembl:lncRNA
GUUUAUUGGGUUUAGGGUUUAUGGGGUUAAGGGUUAGGGUUAGGGGGUGAGGGGUUAUGGGUUAGGGUUUAUGGGUUAUGGGUUUAGGGAUUGGGUUAGGGUUUAUGGGGUUUAGGGUUUAUGAGGUUUAGGGUUUAUGGCGUUAGGGGUUAUGGGUUUAGGGAUUGGGUUAGGGUUUAUGGGGUUUAGGGUUUAUGGGGUUUAGGGUUUAUGGCGUUAGGGGGUUAUGGUUAAUGGGGUUAGGGUUUAGGGGUUAUGGGGUUUAUGGGGUUAAGGGUUAGGGUUAAUGGGUUAAUGGUUAGGGGUUAUGGGUUAGGGUUUAUGGGGUUUAG